CUGGUAACCUAGGAAGGGGCAAGGGUCACUACAAUGUUAAUUGGUGUCUGCAGAUCAGACCCAUUUUUCUAUAGUGAAUAAUUUAAAAACAAUGUCAUUCAUUAAAUGAACCAAUGCCCUUGACUUCUUAAAAGAGGUGAAGGGAAUUAAUCACAGUAAGUUCUCUGAACAUAAAAAUUAACUAAGUUUAUAGUGCUGGAACUGAUGUGUGUGCGAUAACAGUACAUUAUAUUUGAAAGGAUGACCAGAAGACAGCAGCAGGAAUUAAACUAAAGCCAAGAAACUGAGCACAGCUCCUUGGACAAAUCUUAAUCUUGGCUGAUGCCAUAUCUGGUGGGGGUGAGCUGAAGUGUACUUCACUGUGCAUAGAGAGAGAAACCUGCUUUUGAAACUCCUUCCAGAAGCAUACUAUCUUUUCGUAAGUGGGAAAUGUCUUGUGUUUUGCCUUGUGUUUCUUGUUUGAUGGCAUGCCUGGGUCUUCUUUCUUAUUUUUACCUUGUCUGCAGAUUUUUCCACCACAAAGAGAGCUCCCAGAUGAUUAUGCACUCUUCUGCCCAGUGAACAAAAGGAAGCAUAAUCUGGACUAACUACAGUAUCUGAAAUUUGGGAGGAAAGAAUAAAAGACAGAAAAAUGAAAAAGAAGAGGAAGAGAAG
rnacentral:lncRNA from 10 species